GACGAACGCUGGCGGCGUGCCUAAUACAUGCAAGUAGAACGCUGAAGAGAGGAGCUUGCUCUUCUUGGAUGAGUUGCGAACGGGUGAGUAACGCGUAGGUAACCUGCCUUGUAGCGGGGGAUAACUAUUGGAAACGAUAGCUAAUACCGCAUAACAAUGGAUGACCCAUGUCAUUUAUUUGAAAGGGGCAAAUGCUCCACUACAAGAUGGACCUGCGUUGUAUUAGCUAGUAGGUGAGGUAACGGCUCACCUAGGCGACGAUACAUAGCCGACCUGAGAGGGUGAUCGGCCACACUGGGACUGAGACACGGCCCAGACUCCUACGGGAGGCAGCAGUAGGGAAUCUUCGGCAAUGGGGGCAACCCUGACCGAGCAACGCCGCGUGAGUGAAGAAGGUUUUCGGAUCGUAAAGCUCUGUUGUAAGUCAAGAACGAGUGUGAGAGUGGAAAGUUCACACUGUGACGGUAGCUUACCAGAAAGGGACGGCUAACUACGUGCCAGCAGCCGCGGUAAUACGUAGGUCCCGAGCGUUGUCCGGAUUUAUUGGGCGUAAAGCGAGCGCAGGCGGUUUGAUAAGUCUGAAGUUAAAGGCUGUGGCUCAACCAUAGUUCGCUUUGGAAACUGUCAAACUUGAGUGCAGAAGGGGAGAGUGGAAUUCCAUGUGUAGCGGUGAAAUGCGUAGAUAUAUGGAGGAACACCGGUGGCGAAAGCGGCUCUCUGGUCUGUAACUGACGCUGAGGCUCGAAAGCGUGGGGAGCGAACAGGAUUAGAUACCCUGGUAGUCCACGCCGUAAACGAUGAGUGCUAGGUGUUGGAUCCUUUCCGGGAUUCAGUGCCGCAGCUAACGCAUUAAGCACUCCGCCUGGGGAGUACGACCGCAAGGUUGAAACUCAAAGGAAUUGACGGGGGCCCGCACAAGCGGUGGAGCAUGUGGUUUAAUUCGAAGCAACGCGAAGAACCUUACCAGGUCUUGACAUCCCGAUGCUAUUUCUAGAGAUAGAAAGUUACUUCGGUACAUCGGUGACAGGUGGUGCAUGGUUGUCGUCAGCUCGUGUCGUGAGAUGUUGGGUUAAGUCCCGCAACGAGCGCAACCCCUAUUGUUAGUUGCCAUCAUUCAGUUGGGCACUCUAGCGAGACUGCCGGUAAUAAACCGGAGGAAGGUGGGGAUGACGUCAAAUCAUCAUGCCCCUUAUGACCUGGGCUACACACGUGCUACAAUGGUUGGUACAACGAGUUGCGAGUCGGUGACGGCAAGCUAAUCUCUUAAAGCCAAUCUCAGUUCGGAUUGUAGGCUGCAACUCGCCUACAUGAAGUCGGAAUCGCUAGUAAUCGCGGAUCAGCACGCCGCGGUGAAUACGUUCCCGGGCCUUGUACACACCGCCCGUCACACCACGAGAGUUUGUAACACCCGAAGUCGGUGAGGUAACCUUUUGGAGCCAGCCGCCUAAGGUGGGAUAGAUGAUUGGGGUG
rnacentral:rRNA from 2 species